GCCAGCAGCCAUAUCACCCUCACAACUGGCAACCCACUGAAGCUAAGCAAGUAUGAGCCUGGUCAGUACCUGGAUGGGAGACCUCCUGCGAAAAACUUAGGUUGCUGCUGGAA
rnacentral:rRNA from 1 species